rnacentral:rRNA from 1 species
UGCUGUGAGCUCGAUGAGUAGGGCGGGACACGUGGUAUCCUGUCUGAAUAUGGGGGGACCAUCCUCCAAGGCUAAAUACUCCUGACUGACCGAUAGUGAACCAGUACCGUGAGGGAAAGGCGAAAAGAACCCCGGCGAGGGGAGUGAAAAAGAACCUGAAACCGUGUACGUACAAGCAGUGGGAGCACCCUUCGGGGUGUGACUGCGUACCUUUUGUAUAAUGGGUCAGCGACUUAUAUUCUGUAGCAAGGUUAACCGUAUAGGGGAGCCGUAGGGAAACCGAGUCUUAACCGGGCGUUAAGUUGCAGGGUAUAGACCCGAAACCCGGUGAUCUAGCCAUGGGCAGGUUGAAGGUUGGGUAACACUAACUGGAGGACCGAACCGACUAAUGUUGAAAAAUUAGCGGAUGACCUGUGGCUGGGGGUGAAAGGCCAAUCAAACCGGGAGAUAGCUGGUUCUCCCCGAAAGCUAUUUAGGUAGCGCCUCGUGAAUUCAUCUCCGGGGGUAGAGCACUGUUUCGGCUAGGGGGCCAUCCCGGCUUACCAACCCGAUGCAAACUGCGAAUACCGGAGAAUGUUAUCACGGGAGACACACGGCGGGUGCUAACGUCCGUCGUGAAGAGGGAAACAACCCAGACCGCCAGCUAAGGUCCCAAAGUCAUGGUUAAGUGGGAAACGAUGUGGGAAGGCCCAGACAGCCAGGAUGUUGGCUUAGAAGCAGCCAUCAUUUAAAGAAAGCGUAAUAGCUCACUGGUCGAGUCGGCCUGCGCGGAAGAUGUAACGGGGCUAAACCAUG